UACGAAGGGGGGCUAGCGUUGUUCGGAUUUACUGGGCGUAAAGCGCACGUAGGCGGAUCGUUAAGUCGGGGGUGAAAUCCUGGAGCUCAACUCCAGAACUGCCUUCGAUACUGGCGAUCUUGAGUCCGGAAGAGGUGAGUGGAACUCCUAGUGUAGAGGUGGAAUUCGUAGAUAUUAGGAAGAACACCAGUGGCGAAGGCGGCUCACUGGUCCGGUACUGACGCUGAGGUGCGAAAGCGUGGGGAGCAAACAGGG
rnacentral:rRNA from 1 species